rnacentral:rRNA from 1 species
GAUGAACGCUGGCGGCGUGCCUAAUACAUGCAAGUCGAGCGAACAGACGAGGAGCUUGCUCCUCUGACGUUAGCGGCGGACGGGUGAGUAACACGUGGAUAACCUACCUAUAAGACUGGGAUAACCUCGGGAAACCGGAGCUAAUACCGGAUAAUAUAUUGAACCGCAUGGUUCAAUAGUGAAAGACGGUUUUGCUGUCACUUAUAGAUGGAUCCGCGCCGCAUUAGCUAGUUGGUAAGGUAACGGCUUACCAAGGCAACGAUGCGUAGCCGACCUGAGAGGGGGAUCGCCCACACUGGAACUGAGACACGGCCCAGCCCCCGACGGGAGGCACAAGUGGGGAAUUGUCCACAAUGGGAGAAAGCCUGACAGAGCAACGCGGGGUGGGUGAUGAAGGUUUUCGGAUGUAAAAACUUUUUUAUGGGGAAAAAAAAAAUGUAUAAGAAACUAUACACGUCUGGAGGGUACAAAAUAAAAAAGCAAGGGCAAACUCCGGG